rnacentral:rRNA from 1 species
GACGAACGCUGGCGGCGUGCUUAACACAUGCAAGUCGAACGGAAAGGCCCUGCUUUUGUGGGGUGCUCGAGUGGCGAACGGGUGAGUAACACGUGAGUAACCUGCCCUUGACUUUGGGAUAACUUCAGGAAACUGGGGCUAAUACCGGAUAGGAGCUCCUGCUGCAUGGUGGGGGUUGGAAAGUUUCGGCGGUUGGGGAUGGACUCGCGGCUUAUCAGCUUGUUGGUGGGGUAGUGGCUUACCAAGGCUUUGACGGGUAGCCGGCCUGAGAGGGUGACCGGCCACAUUGUGACUGAGAUACGGCCCAGACUCCUACGGGCGGCAGCAGUGGGGAAUAUUGCACAAUGGGCGGAAGCCUGAUGCAGCAACGCCGCGUGCGGGAUGACGGCCUUCGGGUUGUAAACCGCUUUCGCCUGUGACGAAGCGUGAGUGACGGUAAUGGGUAAAGAAGCACCGGCUAACUACGUG